rnacentral:rRNA from 1 species
UUGAACGCUGGCGGCAUGCUUUACCCCUGCCAGUCGAACGGCAGCGCGGGCUUCGGCCUGGCGGCGAGUGGCGAACGGGUGAGUAAUGCAUCGGAACGUGCCCAGUAGUGGGGGAUAGCCCGGCGAAAGCCGGAUUAAUACCGCAUACGACCUGAGGGUGAAAGCGGGGGACCGAAAGGCCUCGCGCUAUUGGAGCGGCCGAUGUCGGAUUAGCUAGUUGGUGGGGUAAAGGCUUACCAAGGCGACGAUCCGUAGCUGGUCUGAGAGGACGACCAGCCACACUGGGACUGAGACACGGCCCAGACUCCUACGGGAGGCAGCAGUGGGGAAUUUUGGACAAUGGGGGCAACCCUGAUCCAGCCAUGCCGCGUGCGGGAAGAAGGCCUUCGGGUUGUAAACCGCUUUUGUUCGGGAAGAAAUCCUCUGGGCUAAUACCCCGGGGGGAUGACGGUACCGGAAGAAUAAGCACCGGCUAACUACGUG